rnacentral:rRNA from 1 species
GACGAACGCUGGCGGCGUGCUUAACACAUGCAAGUCGAACGGAAAGGCCCUGCUUUUGUGGGGUGCUCGAGUGGCGAACGGGUGAGUAACACGUGAGUAACCUGCCCUUGACUUUGGGAUAACUUCAGGAAACUGGGGCUAAUACCGGAUAGGAGCUCCUGCUGCAUGGUGGGGGUUGGAAAGUUUCGGCGGUUGGGGAUGGACUCGCGGCUUAUCAGCUUGUUGGUGGGGUAGUGGCUUACCAAGGCUUUGACGGGUAGCCGGCCUGAGAGGGUGACCGGCCACAUUGGGACUGAGAUACGGCCCAGACUCCAACGGGAGGCAGCAGUGGAGAGUAUUGCACAAUGGGCGGAAGCCUGAUGCAGCAACGCCGCGUGCGGGAUGACGGCCUUCGGGUUGUAAACCGCUUUCGCCGGUGACGAAGCGUGAGUGACGGUAAUGGGUAAAGAAGCACCGGCUAACUACGUG